AUUGAACGCUGGCGGCAGGCCUAACACAUGCAAGUCGAGCGGAGCGGCGGAAGGGUGAGUAAUGCCUAGGAAUCUGCCUGGUAGUGGGGGAUAACGUCCGGAAACGGGCGCUAAUACCGCAUACUAUCAGAUGAGGCUAGGUCGGAUUAGCUAGUGGGUGUGGUAAAGGCCUACCCACGCGGCGAUCCGUAACUGGUCUGAGAGGAUGAUCAGUCACACUGUAACUGAGACACGGUCCAGACUCCUACGGGAGGCAGCAGUGGGGAAUAUUGGACAAUGGGCGAAAUCCUGAUCCAGCCAUGCCGCGUGUGUGAAGAAGGUUUUCGGAUUGUAAAGCACUUUAAGUUGGGAGGCGUUACCAACAGAAUAAGCACCGGCUAACUUCGUGCCAGCAGCCGCGGUAAUUC
rnacentral:rRNA from 1 species